rnacentral:tRNA from 1 species
GGCCACUUAGCUCAGUUGGUAGAGCAUUCGGUUUACAUCCGACAGGUCAUAGGUUCAAGUCCUAUAGUGGCCA